GACGAACGCUGGCGGCGUGCUUAACACAUGCAAGUCGAGCGGAAAGGCCCUUUCGGGGGUACUCGAGCGGCGAACGGGUGAGUAACACGUGAGUAAUCUGCCCCUGGCUUUGGGAUAGCCACCGGAAACGGUGAUUAAUACCGGAUACGACCACUUCUCGCAUGGGAUGGUGGUGGAAAGUUUUUCGGCCAGGGAUGUGCUCGCGGCCUAUCAGCUUGAUGGUGAGGUAAUGGCUCACCAUGGCUUCGACGGGUAGCCGGCCUGGGAGGGUGACCGGUCACACUGGGACUGAGACAAGGCCCAGACACCUACGGGAGGCAGCAGUGGGGAAUAUUGGACAAUGGGCGGAAGCCUGAUCCAGCAACGCCGCGUGAGGGAUGACGGCCUUCGGGUUGUAAACCUCUUUCAGCAGGGACGAAGCGCAAGUGACGGUACCUGCAGAAGAAGCACCGGCCAACUACGUGCCAGCCGCCGCGGUAA
rnacentral:rRNA from 1 species